rnacentral:rRNA from 1 species
GCAGUCGCGGUAAUACGUAGAAGACUAGUGUUAUUCAUGUUUAAUCGGUUUAAAGGGUACCUAGACGGUAAAUCAAGCCUUAAAUUAAAUGAAGGGACUAAUUUACUAGAGUUACUUAUGAGGGGGUAUUAAAGUACUGCUGGUGUAGAGAUGAAAUUCUGUCAUACCUCUUUUCAAUAGAAAAACAAUGGCACAGGUAUAGGCGAAAGCAUCCCCUUAUGUGAUAACUGACGUUGAGGGACGAAGGCUUUGUGUAGCGAACAGGAUUAGAUACCCCAGUAGUCAAAGCAGAAAAUGAUGAAUGUCAUAGAUUAGAUAAAUAAGUUUAUUCUAUAAAUGAAAGUGUAAGCAUUCCACCUCAAGAGUAAUUUGGCAACAUUGGAACUGAAAUCAUUAGACCGUUUCUGAAACCAGUAGUGAAGUAUGUUGUUUAAUUUGAUGGCCCGCAAAAAACCUUACCACAAUUUGAAUAUUUAUAUUUUUUUAUUGUUUUCUUUUUAAUUUUCUUCUUAUUUGAUUUUCCUAAAGAAAAAAAGAAAGAGAGGCGAUAUGAUAUAUUNACAAGCGUUGCACGGCUGUCUUCAGUUAAUGUCGCGAGACUUUGGUUAGUUCCAUUAAAUUAACGUAAACCCUNACUUUAUUUUUAUAUAGAGUAGU